rnacentral:rRNA from 1 species
CCAAUCAAACUGGGAAAUAGCUCGUACUCUCCGAAAUGCAUUUCGGUGCAGCCUGUGAUGUUCUGUUCCAGAGGUAGAGCUACUGGUUGGACGCGAGGGCUUCACCGCCUAUCAAAUCCGGAUAAACUCCGAAUGCUGGAACACGAAAUCAUGGAGUGAGCCCGCGGGUGCUAAGGUCCGCGGACGAGAGGGAAAGAACCCGGACCACCGGCUAAGGUCCCGGAUGGACAGUUAAGUUGAUCAAACGAGGUGGGAUCGCGGAGACAGCUAGGAUGUUGGCUUGGAAGCAGCCAUUCAUUUAAAGAGUGCGUAACAGCUCACUAGUCGAGCGAUCCCGCGUGGAUAAUACACGGGCAUAAAACUGUCAACCGAAGCCGUGGGGUUAGCUUUAUUGCUAACCGGUAGGAGAGCAUUCCUGCCAGCUUUGAAGGUCACCCGCGAGAGUGACUGGAGCGGCAUGAAAAGCAAAUGUAGGCAUAAGUAACGAUAAUGGGGGCGAGAACCCCCCACGCCGCAAGACCAAGGCUUCCCCGGCAAUGUCAAUCAGCCGGGGGUCAGCCGGCCUCUAAGGCUAACCCGAAGGGGGAUGCCGACGAGAAACGGGUUAACAUUCCCGUGCUUCUCGUCACCGUGACGCGGUGACGGGGUGAUGAAUGGACCGCGCGCAGACGGAAUAGCGCGUUGAAGGCCGUACCCUUCGAGGGUGGUAGUCAAGCACGCCACCCGAGGCGAAAGCCGAUAGUACCUCGAGGCCUCGGCCGAGGGGAUAGCGUCCAGGCAAUUAACCCCCUAGAAAACCCGCUAAACUUCAAGUGACGAGGAACCGUACCGUAAACGGACACACGUGGUCGGGUAGAACAUACCAAGGCGCUCGAGUGAUUCAUGGUCAAGGAACUAGGCAAAAUAGUCCUGUAACUUAGGGAUAAAGGACGCUCUAGUGAUAGAGCCGCAGAGAAAUGGCCCAGGCGACUGUUUACCAAAAACACAUGGCUAUGCCAAAUCGAAAGAUGACGUAUAUGGCCUGACACCUGCCCGGUGCCGGAAGGUUAAGAGGAGAGCUCAUCAGUAAUGAGAAGGUUUGAAUUGAAGCCCCGGUAAACGGCGGCCGUAACUAUAACGGUCCUAAGGUAGCGAAAUUCCUUGUCGGGUAAGUUCCGACCUGCACGAAUGGUGUAACGAUCUGGGCACUGUCUCGACCAUGAGCUCGGUGAAAUUGUAGUUCCGGUGAAGAUGCCGGGUACCCGCGACGGGACGGAAAGACCCCGUGAACCUUUACUGCAGCUUCGCGUUGUUCCCGGGCACGGGACGUGUAGGAUAGGUCGGAGGCUACGAUUCGGUUUCGCCAGGAAUCGAGGAGCCAUCGUUGAAAUACGACCCUUCUCUUGUCUGGGAUCUAACCCUAGGUACAGGGGACACCGCGUGGUGGGUAGUUUGACUGGGGUGGUCGCCUCCAAAAGCGUAACGGAGGCUUCCAAAGGUACCCUCGGGUUGGUUGGUAAUCAACCUCAGAGUGCAAUGGCACAAGGGUGCUUGACCGGGAGACCAACGAGUCGAUCGGGUGCGAAAGCAGGGCAUAGUGAUCCGGUGAUCCCGCGUGGAAGGGUCAUCGCUCAAAGGAUAAAAGGUACUCCGGGGAUAACAGGCUGA